GGCCUUGUAGCUCAGCUGGUACAGCGUGAGCGUACAAAGUGCGAGUGACGUUUAGGUGUGGGUUCGAGUCCCACCGAGGCUA
rnacentral:tRNA from 1 species